rnacentral:tRNA from 1 species
GCCGAAGUGGCGGAACUGGUAGACGCGCAUGGUUCAGGACCAUGUGGGGUUAACCCGUGGGGGUUCGACUCCCCCCUUCGGCA